rnacentral:rRNA from 1 species
AACGAACGCUGGCGGCAUGCCUAAUACAUGCAAGUCGAACGAGAUCUUCGGAUCUAGUGGCGCACGGGUGCGUAACGCGUCGAAAUCUGCCCUUGGGUUCGGAAUACCCUUUAGAAAUGACUUGUAAUACCGGAUGAUGACGUAAGUCCAAAGAUUUAUCGCCCAGGGAUGAGCCCGCGUAGGAUUAGAUAGUGGGUGAGGUAAAGGCUCACCAAGGCUACGAUCCUUAGCUGGUCUGAGAGGAUGAUCAGCCACACUGGGACUGAGACACGGCAAAGACUCCUACGGGAGGCAGCAGUAGGCACCAUUGGACAUGGGGGUAAACCCUGAUCCAACAAUGCCGCGUGAACGAUGAACGGCGGAGGGUUGUAAAGCUCUUUUACCCGGGAUGAUAAUGAAAGGCAAGGGAGAAGAAGAAACGGCUAACUCCGUGCCAGCAGAAGCAGUAA